rnacentral:rRNA from 1 species
UACAGAGGUCUCAAGCGUUGUUCGGAUUCAUUGGGCGUAAAGGGUGCGUAGGUGGCGGGGUAAGUCAGGUGUGAAAUUUCGGAGCUCAACUCCGAAACUGCAUUUGAUACUGCCUUGCUUGAGGACUGGAGAGGAGACUGGAAUUCACGGUGUAGCAGUGAAAUGCGUAGAUAUCGUGAGGAAGACCAGUGGCGAAGGCGGGUCUCUGGACAGUUCCUGACGCUGAGGCACGAAGGUCAGGGGAGCAAACGGG